rnacentral:rRNA from 1 species
CGUAACUGUUUCCUCCGGGUCAGAAAGUUGAAACAGGCAAAAUGGAGGUUGCGACGGCGACGGAGGCGUCGGCGCCGGCGGCGAGCGGCGGGGCGAGCAGGCGGGGCCACCCGUUCCCCUGGCUCGACGUGGCCAUCUCGGAGCCCUACUACUUCCUCCACCUCAUCGCUUUCUUCUCCUACUUCGCGGCCCGCACCACGGCGCCCUCGGCCGAGGACGACGCCGAGCUCCACAGCCGCCUUAUCAGACGGGAGAUCCAGGCGGUGCUCGUGUUCCUGGUGCUCUUCACAGUGAAGAUUGUGAAGGAGGAACACUGGGAAACAUUCAUCGCUGAUUCAUUGCUCUACGCAAAGGGCCUCUUGUUGGUGGUCACUUUUGUUAUUGAUUAUUGGUUGACUGUCGGCUACUUACUGGGAUUUAUCGUUAUAUAUGCUAUGGCUCAACAGCCACCUUAUGAUGGCCUAGGUCAUUUAAAUCAUUUAACUCCGUUGCAAUUGGAAAGCCUGCUAACUGAAGAACCAACGACACGAUUUUGGCUGGUUGAGUUCCGGACUUCCUUUUUAACACCAUGUAUACAAGCAAGCAGUGUCAUGCCUGAACUCUCUAACUUAUACUCCAACAAGAACAUUUCUUUUGGAUUAGUUGAUCUAGGGCAUUUUCCAAAUGCUGCAGCGAGGUUUGGAAUAUCCAUGUGGGAUCAUCUUCCCACUUAUAUACUGUUUGACAAGGCGACUGAAGUUGCUCGGCUCCCAGAAAUCGGAAACGGAACAAAAGUAUUCGUGCCAAAAGUUACCAAGAAGCUUCUCUGCCAUCACUUUGAUCUUGACAGGAGACUGAUUGAAUUUCUGUCGACCUAGUUGUGUCUCAAAUUGAAGGUGACAAUUCGGACGAGAUAAAUGGACCAGACAGUUGUGUGGAAGCGAUUACUUCAGGGGAGUAUCUUCAAGAAGCUUGUUUUAUUCGAUGGGUUUGGUCGCGCCCAUCCAAUCCAAGGCCAGUAUACUUUGUGGCGACAAAUAUGUUUUCGCAUCUUGCUAUGAUAUGUCACUUCUUGAAUUCUGGAACGUUACUGCCACUGUACAGAUCUUGUAAUGAUUCACCGACUAUGCUUUGCACUGCAGUAGUGGUCAAUCCAGACACCAUUCUUUUCCACAGAGCACCGUGUCUCGGAAUUUGUAUGGAUCCCGGCACCUUUUCCAAGCGGUAAUGGCCUGCACGGUAGGCCAUUCUGUC